rnacentral:misc_RNA from 1 species
GAUGAAGAACGUAGCGAAAUGCGAUAAGUAAUGUGAAUUGCAGAAUUCAGUGAAUCAUCGAAUCUUUGAACGCACAUUGCGCCCGCUGGUAUUCCGGCGGGCAUGCCUGUUCGAGCGUCAUUUCAACCCUCAAGCCCCCGGGUUUGGUGUUGGGGAUCGGCUCUGCCCUUCUGGGCGGUGCCGCCCCCGAAAUACAUUGGCGGUCUCGCUGCAGCCUCCAUUGCGUAGUAGCUAACACCUCGCAACUGGAACGCGGCGCGGCCAUGCCGUAAAACCCCAACUUCUGAAUGUUGACCUCGGAUCAGGUAGGAAUACCCGCUGAACUUAAGCAUAUCAAUAAGCGGAGGA